rnacentral:rRNA from 1 species
GUCCACGCCGUAAACGAUGUCUACUAGCCGUUGGGAGACUUGAUCUUUUAGUGGCGAAGCUAACGCGAUAAGUAGACCGCCUGGGGAGUACGGCCGCAAGGUUAAAACUCAAAUGAAUUGACGGGGGCCCGCACAAGCGGUGGAGCAUGUGGUUUAAUUCGAAGCAACGCGAAGAACCUUACCAACUCUUGACAUCCUGCGAACUUGCUAGAGAUAGCUUGGUGCCUUCGGGAACGCAGAGACAGGUGCUGCAUGGCU